GCAAACUUGGUCAUUUAGAGGAAGUAAAAGUCGUAACAAGGUUUCCGUAGGUGAACCUGCGGAAGGAUCAUUAAUAGUUUAGGGUACUCGGUGCCCAAACUUCAACCCUAUGAUUUACCAACUUUGUUUCUUUGCCGGCUUAACAACCCGGCAAAAGAAUUCUCAAACUCAUUGAUAAACAGUUGCAAAUCUGAAUAUUUGAUUAAAUCAAAAGCAAAACUUUCAACAACGGAUCUCUUGGUUCUGGCAUCGAUGAAGAACGCAGC
rnacentral:misc_RNA from 1 species